rnacentral:rRNA from 1 species
GAUAAACGCUGGCGGCGUGCCUUACGCAUGCAAGUCGCACGGACCUUCGGGUCAGUGGCGGACGGGUGAGUAACACGUACGUGACCUGCCUCGAACUGGGGGAUAACCGCCCGAAAGGGUGGCUAAUACCGCAUGUGGUCCCGAUGCUGCGGCAUGGGGAGUAAAGCUUCGGCGGUUCGAGAGGGGCGUGCGGCCGAUUAGCUAGUUGGUGGGGUAAUGGCCUACCAAGGCAGCGAUCGGUAGCUGGUCUGAGAGGACGGCCAGCCACACGGGGACU